UAUACAGAGAAGUGGCCAGUCUGGACAUACGUGUGUAAAGAAACGCUACCCAAAGACCCUAGCAGCCCUGCCACUCCUUGGAACCAGGAGAUGGGAUUGAUGUAAAGGUCCACCAAUGAAAGACUGCUCUGGCUACACCCUGGAAAGGCCCUUAUUAAGUCCUGCUACCUACCAACACCACUGUGAAGUGUCAAAGACUGGCUGCUUGGACUCAAGAUUCUCACUGCAAAAAGACCCCUCCACAUCGGGAGAAUUCUCCUACUGAUGAUUAGCCUAUUUCGCCUUCUAGCUCCACUGUGCCUUCUGGACAGCAGGGAAAAAGUACAAGGAUGCUGAACCAUGACUGUUUCGGGAAAGAAGAAGGAACACUCAGAAAUUGGCAAAGUCCAGGAAUUCCUGACUAGAAAGGACAUUAAGAACUGACCCUGGUGAAGAAACGAAGAAUUAUACACUGGCUGGAGGACAUUUGUGGGACCCAUGCUUGGGAAUGUGGUAUUGAUUGGAGCUUGGGGUUUAUUCUACAGGCUGCGCCCUGUGUCCUGGAGAGUGACUAAUAAGGUAACCCCCCUCCUAUGCUAUUAAUGUCGAUGCCUUUUGAAGGUACCUGAGAAUAGUUAAAUAACAGGUGUAUUAUAGUACUACACCAAGGAAAGAUGGUAUUGAAUAUCACACUGAGGCUGGGAAGGCAUUGCAGUGGGAUCUAGUAUGUUUAGGAAUUUGGGAUUUCCUGAAUGACCAGCUGAUGGCCAUUUGGAGUGAUCUUGAGUACCAGACUUGGCCCACUGCCCUUACAGACACAUCAGAAAUACCAUCUGAUCUGUGAUCAUCGAGACAUACGUGGACAAUUCCUGGGUGGAAGUGUGGCUUCCUAAAUACCAUCUGAUCUGUGAUCAUCGAGACAUACGUGGACACUUCCUGGGUGGAAGUGUGGCUUCCCAGGGUGGGGUGUGCGCCCUUAUAGGGGAUGAAUGAAAGGAAACCCACUAUUUCUGAUUCCCUCUGGGGCUGGUUACUCAACCUGGGAGAACUAGGGGAAGGCAUUGUUCACCUCCUGCACACUGGUGUGGUGUUGUGUAUCGUUACUCUUCUCUUGCUUGCUUGCUGUAAAGCAAUUCAGCUCCCUAGAGCUAAAUCACAUGUUAUCCUUUAAAUGUGAGAACACUCAGCCAAAAGUUUGUUGAGUAUUCUCAAAGGAGGGAGUUGUUGGUGUCACUAAGCAUAACCCUAAGUAACUUGGGAGGGUGGAAGGCCACAAGGGUAUGAAGCCUUCCUGGUUUUAGGCCUCAGCAGACAAAAGUCCCUCCAUGUUUGAACUUUAAUCGACCUAAAAGGCCAGGUGUAACAGCCGUUAUCAGUUGCAACAGUACUAACUGGUCUAAAACAGAAAUAAUGAGGCCUGUGCACCUUUAGCAGAAGGACAAGAUAACUUGCAGAAGGAAAACUUACUAACGAGCUGCCGCGGCCAAGAUUACUUAAUGCACCUGCGCUUACGUAAUUGCUACGGGGGGAGGGGGGAGAGAAAGAAGAAAGAGAAAAAAAACUUAUAAAAAGGGAAAAGCCGCUUGUGUAGGGGUGCUGGAUCUGAGGCAUGUCAAGUCUCCCAGCACCGCUUUGAGAUCUCAAAUAAACUUUGCUUGCUUCUCCACCCUGGUGUGUGUUCAUUGGUGCU